rnacentral:lncRNA from 1 species
AAUAUACACCUCUUAGGCUAUCUUCAGGAGUAUGUCGCGACACCCUCAAUUUGUGUCACGAUAUCGAAGGUAGUCUUGAGCUUUCUCCAUUCUAUUCCCUAUGAUGCAACAUUGAACAUCCCAUGUUGUGACAUAGCGACCAAUAUCAGUUUAGUAUACCUCUUAAAGGCUUCCUACACACUCACAAAGUGUGUUAGCUCUCCCUUAGGCCUCACUCGGC